rnacentral:rRNA from 1 species
UGGGGAAUAUUGCACAAUGGGCGCAAGCCUGAUGCAGCCAUGCCGCGUGUAUGAAGAAGGCCUUCGGGUUGUAAAGUACUUUCAGCGGGGAGGAAGGGAAUAAAGUUAAUACCUUUGCUCAUUGACGUUACCCGCAGAAGAAGCACCGGCUAACUCCGUGCCAGCAGCCGCGGUAAUACGGAGGGUGCAAGCGUUAAUCGGAAUUACUGGGCGUAAAGCGCACGCAGGCGGUUUGUUAAGUCAGAUGUGAAAUCCCCGGGCUCAACCUGGGAACUGAAUCUGAGACUGGCAAGCUUGAGUCUCGUAGAGGGGGGUAGAAUUCCAGGUGUAGCGGUGAAAUGCGUAGAGAUCUGGAGGAAUACCGGUGGCGAAGGCGGCCCCCUGGACGAAGACUGACGCUCAGGUGCGAAAGCGUGGGGAGCAAACAGG